AGAGUCUGAUUUAUGGCUCAGAUUGAACGCUGGAUGCUUUGCUAGACAUGCAAGUCGAACGGCACGGACUUCGGUCUGGUGGCGAGUGGCGGAACGGGGCGAGGGCCGUAUCGGAACGUGCCUAGUAGCGGGGGAUAAUCAUGAAAAGCGUAGCUAAUACCGUACAUUACCUCGGGGAAAGCACCUUCGGGCCUCGCACCAUUAGAGCGCCGAUAUCGGAUUAGCUAUUAGGGGUAAUGCGUCUCAUCAAGGCGACUAAUCCGUAGCUGGUUUGAGAGGACGACCAGCCACACUGGGACUGAGACACGGCCCAGACUCGCCGGAGGCAGCAGGGGGAAUUUCUGACAAUGGGGAAACCCUGAUCCAGCCAUCCCGCGUGCGAUGAAGGCCUUCGGGUUGUAAAGACUUUGCAGGAGGGAAGAAACGGUACGGAUAAUACCCCGUGCAACUGACGGUACCCAAAAUAAGCACCGGCUAACUACGUGCCAGCAGCCGUGCGUAAUGUGUAGGGUACAGCACUGGAAUUACUGGGCGUAAAGCGUGCGCAGGCGGUUCGGAAAGAAAGAUGUGAAAUCCCAGAGCUGACCUUGGAACUGCAUUUUUAACUACCGAGCUAGAGUGUGUCAGGAGGGAGGUGAAUUCCGCGUAGCAGUGAAAUGCGUAGAUAUGCGGAGGAACACCGAUGGCGAAGGCAGCCUCCUGGGAUAACACUGACGUUCGCUAUCGAAAAAGUGGAGCAAACAGGACACACUUGGUAGUCCACGCCUCAAACGAUGUACCAACUAGCUGUUGGGGCCUGGCCUUGGUAGCGCAGCUAAUCGCGUGAAGUUGACCGCCUGGGGAGUACGGUCGCAAGAUUAAACUCAAAGGAAUUGACGGGGACCCGCACAAGCGCGGUGGAUGAUGUGGAUUAAUUCGAUGCAACGCGAAAACCUUACCUACCCUUGACAUGCCUGAAUCCCGGAAGAGAUUUUGGGAGUGCUCGCGAGAACCGGAACACAGGUGCUGCAUGGCUGUCGCUUCGCCUGUGUCGUGAGAUGCUGGUUAAGUCCCGCAACGAGCGCAACCUACGGCUGGCUAGUUGCUACGAAAGGGCACUCUAAUGAGACUGCCGGUGACAAACCGGAGGAAGGUGGUGGAGGACGUCAAGUCCUCAUGGCUCCCGCGGGUGGGCUUCACACGUCAUACAAUGGUCGGGACAGAGGUCGCCAACCCGCGAGGGGGAGCCAAUCCCAGAAACCCGAUCGUGUCCGGAUCGCAGUCUGCAACUCGACUGCGGGAAGUCGGAAUCGCUAGCAAUCGCGGAUCAGCAUGUCGCGGUGAAUACGUUCCUGGGUCUUGCACACACCGCCCGUCACACCAUGGGAGUGGUUUUACCAGAAGUAGUUAGCCUAACCGUAUGAGUGGCGAUUACCACGGUAGGAUUCAUGAUCGGGGUGAAGUCGUAACAAGGCA
rnacentral:rRNA from 1 species